rnacentral:misc_RNA from 1 species
CUGGAACGCGCUUCGGCGCACCCAGAAACCCUUUGUGAACUUAUACCUAUUUGUUGCCUCGGCGUAGGCCGGCCUCUUCACUGAGGCCCCCUGGAGACAGGGAGCAGCCCGCCGGCGGCCAACUAAACUCUUGUUUCUAUAGUGAAUCUCUGAGUAAAAACAUAAAUGAAUCA